rnacentral:tRNA from 1 species
GGGGCGGCAGCUUAGCAGGCCAAGCAUCCGGCUUUUAACCGGAAGAGUGAUGGGUUCGAGACCUUCCCGCCCUA